AAGAAUUUAAAAGUCGAACAGACUUAAAAUUUGAACGGCUACACCCAAAAUUAUAUCUUAAUCCAACAUCGAGGUCGCAAUCUUUUUUAUCGAUAUGAACUCUCCAAAAAAAUUACGCUGUUAUCCCUAAAGUAACUUAAAUUUUUAAUCAUUAUUAAUGGAUCAAUAAUUCAUAAAUUAAUGGUUUUAAAAAUUAAAAGUUUUUUAAAUUUUAAUAUCACCCCAAUAAAAUAUUUUAAUUUAUUAUAAUAAAAAUAAUCUUUAUAAUUAAAAUAAACAAAAUAUAAAGAUUUAUAGGGUCUUCUCGUCUUUUAAAUUUAUUUUAGCUUUUUGACUAAAAAAUAAAAUUCUAUAAAAAAUUUAAAUGAAACAGUUAAUAUUUCGUCCAACCAUUCAUUCCAGCCUUCAAUUAAAAGACUAAUGAUUAUGCUACCUUUGCACAGUUAGAAUACUGCGGCCAUUUAAAAUUUUCAGUGGGCAGGUUAGACUUUAAAUUUAAUUCAAAAAGAC
rnacentral:rRNA from 3 species